rnacentral:rRNA from 1 species
AUUGAACGCUGGCGGCAGGCUUAACACAUGCAAGUCGAACGAGUGGCGGACGGGUGAGUAAUGUGUGGGAAUCUAGCAUAUGGAGGGGGAUAACUACGGGAAACUGUAGCUAAUACCGCUUACCAUAGGAUGAUCCCAAGUGGGAUUAGGUAGUUGGUGAGGUAAAGGCUCACCAAGGCGACGAUCGAUAGCGGGUCUGAGAGGAUGACCAGCCACACUGGGACGGAGACACGGUCCAGACUCCUACGGGAGGCAGCAGUGGGGAAUAUCGCGCAAUGGGCGCAACCUGACGCAGCAACGCCGCGUGAAUGAAGAAGGCCUUCGGGUUGUAAAGUUCUUUCAGUAGCGAGGCGUUAACUACAGAAGAAGCAACGGCUAACUCCGUGCCAGCAGCCGCGGUAAUUC